UAUGUACCGUAAAACGCGUAUAAAAAAAACCGUUAUUUUUUCUGAUGCGGAGUAGAGGGAUUUAGACCCCAUCCCAAAAACCUCCCUCGAACCAGUCGAACCAUUUUAAUCAUACGUAAAAGUAUAAUGUUCAAAGGGGUAUACUGAAUGUCCAUCUACUUCUCUUCAAGUUAAAUACUGAGGCCUCCACGAUAAAAAAAAAAAAAACAAAAAAACACAAUAAUAAUAAAAUUCUCACCUCUUAUAGUUAUUAUAUAAUAAAUAAUAUUAUAACAAUAAUUUCCCCCGCCAUAAUCAUUAACCAUAGAAUUUGCCUAUUAUGCAGUUUAGUUGUGCAUUUUGAACGUGCGCUAUAAUAACGAAAACACUGUAAUUAGGUACCUGUAAUAUGCGGGACUAUAUUUUUAGCCAUUGUUUAGGAAAAUGAGUAAGUAAACCAGACACGAACGUACGCUCGUAAAUAAUAUUUUCAGGUAGGUGGCGUCUACACUGAUACGGACAAAUGAAAGGCCGUGACAUAGACUUUGUUUUACUAUUCGCUUAUUAUACAAAAAACGAUAACAUUGACCUCUAAACUUAAAAUUAUUGCAAAAAUCGACACAUGAAACACGACUACCUAUAGCGAUAAAAGUAUGUACACUAAAAGUACCUACUCGUCAUAAAUAUUUGUGUGGUUGGGUUAGGUUACUAAUUAAUAACCCGAAUUUUACAAAUGUAUUUCUUCGGUAUUUAUAUUAGCAAUAAUCAAAUUUGUAAUAUUAAUGGAUCAACAUGUAUACAAAUUAACGGUUGUCUAUUUUCCAUAGCGACGCACUCAAAUAAUCAAAUGUUCUAAUUCGAGUAAUCAUAGAGUUGCGAAUUAUUCGCAAAAAUUCUAAACGCGUAUUUAAGUGCAAGUGCAUAUAGCAGCCGAACGUCCAUACAGUUGAGUUAUCAAUUUGUCAUUUAAAAAUAGAUAUGCAAUAUCCUUCCCUACGCCUCCGAUCUAAACUUUAUAAUUGUUUUAACUCAUAAACGGUAAAUCUGAUAUUAGUGUCAUGCAUAUCAAAAUGUCUAGACAAAUAUUCUCUGUUCGAAAUUGUGUUCAAACUUCAAAAAGGGGGUAUCCUAUUUGCAAAACAAAAGUAUAUACUUAUUUAAGGUAUACGGAGUAGGGGCAAAAAAUAGUUAAGUUUAAACGAUUCCAUAAUAAAUAAAAAACAGAAAUCAGAUUCAUUAAAAAACCACCGAGAAUGUUGCCGAUUCACGAUAAAAAAUAAUAACCCUGUAUGCAGUGAAAUCAAAAUGUCGUGGGAGUAGUGCACGUCACAGUAAAUUAUGUCCAGGACCGGAACCGUGGAGGGGCAGGCGGGGAUUAAUCACCAGCCAUAUUAACGUAUAUUUUCUAUGGAUAUUAACUGAUAAAUUCUUCUUUAAUUGUGAUUCUUCAGCAUUUCAGGAGUGUAGGAGAAAGUGCGUGUUGUACGUUUUGCAUUUUAUAAAUAUUAUAGCCUGAAGGUAGUGGGGCGAACACCGCAUAGACCGUAUAGUAUUUUUAUCCGGCACUGGUAAUGUUUGCGUGUACACAAAAUCAUAUACCUAUACGAGUACAUAUAUUAGAAUAGAAAAAAAUAAAAAGCAUUCACACAAAUUGCAGAACAGUAAUUACAGAUAUCUGUGUAAUAUUAUAUUAUAAUAGCCAUGCUUUUGCGAUGCAGUUUUCGGUAAACAGAUUGUUGUUGUUUGCAACCAAUCGGUUGUGAACAAACGUUUUGUUUGUUGUACUCAAGUCCGUACAGCAUUUCACAAAAUGGACAACAUGCAGUAACCGAAGACAGUAAAUGAAGUUACUAAUAACGAUUGUUAUUAUGUCCAGAUUCCAGUAGUCGAAAGUGCAUUCAGUCA